rnacentral:rRNA from 1 species
AUGAAAAGCAAGAAGGAGGGUGGGCUAGGCUUCCGGGAUCUGCAUAUUUUCAACAAAGCAAUGCUAGCAAGGCAGAGCUGGAGGCUUAUACAGAAUCCGGAGUCCCUGUGUGCAAUUGUGCUCAAGGAAAAAUACUUUCCAAAGUGUUCUAUUCUGGAGGCGGAGGAACAGCCGGGAAUGUCGUACACAUGGAGAAGCAUUUUAAGAGGG